rfam:Erinaceus europaeus unplaced genomic scaffold scaffold00480, whole genome shotgun sequence
GGAUGUGAGGGUGAGCCGGCUGCGACAUCUGUCACCCAACUGAUCGCCAGGGUUGAUUCAGCUGAUCUGGCUGGCUAGGCGGGUGUCCCCUUCCUCCCUCACCACUCCAUGUGUGUCCCUCCCAAAACUGUGUGCUAGUCAAGAGGACGACCUUCACGGAAUAGAGACUGACUAGUCUUCCGUCGAGGGUAUAUGAGUAGCUGUGCUCCCCUGCUAAAACCUCCAAACAAGCUCUCAAGAAAGAUGCACUUCAUCACUGGGGAGGCUGAGAGGGGAAGACUAGUAUUUUUUCCAAAAGCCAGUGCUAUGUCAUCUUGAGUUCAAAUUAGACAUGC